ACUCCUUUUCAAAAGAUACUGGAACUUUAAGGCUUUUAUCAAGUCUCAUUGCACGAAUAGCUGCCCGAGGUUCAGGAUAUUUCUGCAAAUAACGUAAAGCAGUUUUUAAUCCCAUUCCAGCUACACCAUCUGUGUAAUCACAUCCGGAAAAUAUUGCCAUAUGUCGAAGUUUUUCAAUCGGAAGACGGAGAUUCAAGUCUUGUGCGUUUGCUAUGUCAUUACGUCUAAUAGUUAUGCAAUUCCCAAAUCCAUCCAUCUUAAAUAGUACCGUUUGAGCGCCAAAAACUAGCAUAUCAGAGUCUUCCGUAAUAAUGCCAUCAAUGAUAUUUUCCUUCUCCAAAUAUACGAGUUGAGCAUCUGCUUCAUACGGAGCAACGAUUGAUUCAAUCCCAUGUUCUCUCAAAGCGAUUAUUAACUUCCAAGCCAUUUCUGGGGUCACAUCAACACAGCGUGAGAAUUGCAUUAUUGCUUGACUUUUCUUACCUUCAUCCCACAAUUUCUUACCAAGUUCAAAUGCCUCUUGGCGACGUUCUUUUCUUUUUUGCUCAGUUGAUGCUUUACAGGGAAGAGGUCCUCCAUCGAAUACUAUUAAAGGUUUUACACCAUAAUAUUGUAGCAUUAACGCCUGAUGAAUAGCAUACUUUAGGUAUUUAUCGGUUUCCUUGUUAAAUGCUAAUUCAUGAGCACAUGUAAACACUGCCUUGUGCAACCAAACAUAUCCAUCAACUCCCAAAGUCUUGCCAGAAAACUCCUCGACAUGAGAGCUUUUCUGCAUAGGCUUCAAAAGUCCCAAAAGACCUUUAAUUCCCAUGUUUAAAGCAUUCGUCAAGCACCAAAAGAAUGCAGGUGCGUUAUCGAGAUGUUGGUUCUGUAACAGUUUUAACGUAGUACCCUUGGAAGUGUGUUGUGUAUCUGAUCAACAAAUAUAUUCUUGCAGUCGAUAGGCCCAAAACGAACAAGUAUAAAAUUUACUUUAUCAUUAAGAAAGGAUAAAUAUAAAAGGCUUUGUUAUUGUUUAUGUGUGAAAUAAUUUAAGGAGCCGGCUAUCAUUGUUUGAGUAUGCUGGUGUACUUCUUUUCUAAACAUCUAUUCAAUCGAAAUCAUUAAAAUCAUGAUAAUACUAUAAGUAAGUUUUUUUCUUUAAAGUUCUUUGUUUGAAAUCUAUCGUGAUUGUUAACUAAGACUACGGUGAAUCAAUCAACCAUUACCAAAUCAUUGAAUUUAGCUGUAUGAGGAAAACUCAAGCGCAAAAUUAAUAUUUUAAAGUUCU